rnacentral:rRNA from 1 species
UUUAUGGAGAGUUUGAUCCUGGCUCAGGAUGAACGCUGGCGGCGUGCCUAAUACAUGCAAGUCGAGCGAACGGACGAGAAGCUUGCUUCUCUGAUGUUAGCGGCGGACGGGUGAGUAACACGUGGAUAACCUACCUAUAAGACUGGGAUAACUUCGGGAAACCGUAGCUAAUACCGGAUAAUAUUUUGAACCGCAUGGUUCAAAAGUGAAAGACGGUCUUGCUGUCACUUAUAGAUGGAUCCGCGCUGCAUUAGCUAGUUGGUAAGGUAACGGCUUACCAAGGCAACGAUGCAUAGCCGACCUGAGAGGGU